GCCGGGCGUGGUGGCGGCGCCUGUAGUCCCAGCUACUCGGGAGGCUGAGGCAGGAGAAUUGCUUGAACCUGGGGAGGCGGAGGUUGUAGUGAGCCAAGAUCGCGCCACUGCACUCCCGCCUGGGUGACAGAGCAAGACUCCGUCUCAC
rnacentral:SRP_RNA from 1 species